GCGGGAGUGGCGGAAUGGCAGACGCGCCAGACUUAGGAUCUGGUGUCUUCGGACGUAGGGGUUCAAGUCCCCUCUCCCGCACCA
rnacentral:tRNA from 3 species